rnacentral:snoRNA from 1 species
GGGUCGAUGAUGAGAACCUGAUAUUGUCUGAAGAGAGGUGAUGACUUAAAAUCAUGCUCAAUAGGAUUACGCUGAGGCCC